ensembl:lncRNA
CUCUAAAGACAAUGGAGAUGGUUGUGGAUUUCAGGAGGAACAGAGCCCCACCCUCCCCCAUCACCCCGUGUGACUCCCCCGUCACUAUUGUGGAUUCCUUCCGUUUCCUGGGCUCCAUCAUCACCCAGGACCUCAAGUGGGAGCUGAACAUCAGCUCCAUCACCAAGAAGGCUCAGCAGAGGUUGUUCUUCCUGAGGCAGCUGAAGAAACUCAACCUGCCAAAGACGAUGAUGGUGCACUUCUACACGGCCAUCAUCGAGUCCAUCCUCUGCUCCUCCAUCCCCGUCUGGUCCUUCUCUGACUUGUGUUUUACUCCAGGUUGCUCUGGUUUUCAAAAAAAAAAAUGGUGGAGGAGAGGAGAGAAGGGGAGUGGAUUUUGCCACUAGAUCGUCGGAGGAAGCUCGCCCAUGAAUAAUCGUGUAAGUCAGCGGUCGGGAACCUAUGGCUCUUCCGGUGACUGCAUAUGGCUCCCAGUUGAAAAAAAAAAUAAAAAUCAGUUUGGAACUGAUUUUAAAAUACUUAAACAAAAAAAGACGAUUACCGUGCAUUUCAGGCUGCGUGGACAGAGGAAUUUGCACUUGUGGACAGAGCAGGAUCUGCGGUAUGUCUAAUAUGCAAUCAUAAAAUUGCAUCGA